rnacentral:lncRNA from 1 species
UGAAUGGUCUCUGUUGACCAUUGGAUGGUACAUGUUCCAUCUCCACAUCAAAAUAAAAAAUAAAAAUUAAUAUUCAGGAAGAUGGUGAUAUUAGAGGCAAGCAGGAAUGCAGAAGGUUUGAGUGUAUACUUAGUUAAAAUGAAAUACUGAUUAACUGAUUUCAUAAUAUGAAUCAUAAUUCCUGAGGAAUAUUUACAUUGUAAAUGUGCUCAAUCAGUUUCUAAAUACAAUGGCUGUUGCUUGUUUAGAAAUCUGUUUCUAGACAGCCAGGACUACACAGAGAAACCCUGUCUCAAAAAAACAAAACAAAACAAAACAAACAAACAAAAAAAAAGAAAUCUGUUUCUAAAAGCUGGUGCUUUUGUCUAAUCAGAUAUAAACUUUAUGUCACAUAUAUGUGAUAUGAAAUAUAUGAUGAGUGAAAUUUCAUAUAUGUGAACUAUAUAUGAUGAGUGAGGAUAUAUAGGAGUGAGUUUUUUUAACUUUUAAAAUUGACUUUUCAUGAUAGAAAUUUUAUACAAUAAAAUUCCAUUUUAAGCAUAUUCUGGGUUUUGGUAGGUUUUGGAAUAUAUACAGCUGUGUAACCCUCGCCAUGGCUCAAAAUAACCUCCACAUUUCUAAUAGCCUCCAUUUUUCCUUUGCUCCUGUUUAUAAUCCACUCCUUUCCUCUCCUUCCUUGUCUGCAGCAAGCUAACGAUGUCACAACUGCUUUGCUGUGCCUGAGAUUUCAUAUAAAUGCUGUCCUAUGGCGUGUAUCUUUUUAUGGUUUCUCUUGGCUAAUAUGCAUUGUAAAAAUUUCACGUCGCUGCAUGUGUCAGGAAUUUGUCCCUUUUUAUCCCUUGCAUGGCUGUGCCUCCGUUUGUCUGUUCACUAGACAGCAGACAUUUGAUUUCUCUGCAGUUUUUUUUUUUUUAAUCAUUGUAAAUAAACUAUAGUGGAUAUUCAAAUACAUUUCUUUUGGUGAGGGAAUGUCUUAAUAAAUGAAAUAUAGUAAUAUGUUUCAAUAAGAAGUUUGUCAUGCAGUCUCUUUGUUUGAGACUGGAUCUCACUGUGUAGCUCUGGCUAUCCUGGAACACCCUGUGUUGACCAGGCUGUCCUGGAACUCAAAGAAAUUUUGCUUCCUCUCCCUCCCAAGUACUAGAGUUAAAUGCUGCAUUCAAAGAGAAGAGGGCUUGAGAUCAGCAGAACUAAAAGCAGUAUGUGCAUGGUUGUGUUUUAGUAGAAUUCCUGAAUGGGAGGUGGGGCUACUGAUAUGUCUUUCGGCUACUUGCUGAAAUAUACCUGCCCCUUUGAGCUGUAAGCCUUCUUCCUUAAUGAAUUCUCUGAAGGUAUUUCUGCUAGUAGAUAAAGCCAAAGUUCACAUCAUAUGUAUCUUUAAUUAGUGAGAUCUGUAUAUUUAUGCUCUUAUUAUUUUCUGAUUUAGACAAACAUUGUUAUUAUUAUUUUUUUUUAGUCAGAACUUCUAACCACAGGACCAUCUCUCAAGGCUCUCCCUUUUAAUAGUGUCAUUUGUUUGUUUGUUUGUUCUGAUGUGUAUGUGUUUUUAAUCAAGUGAUUGACUGACUGAUAUCUUUACAAAUUAAAUUAAAUUUUUUUCAAUUAAAUAUGAUAACAUUUAUUUGAAUUCAUCACUUUUUUGUUUACAUCUGGAUAGCCUUUUUCUUUUCUUUAAAAAAAAAAACCUUUUAUUUAUUUACUUUUACACUCCAGAUUUUCUGCACCCUCUGACUGUUGCACAUCCCAUACCUCUUCCCUGCCCCCUGUCUCCAUGCGGAUGUCCCCCCUCCUACACCACCAGACCUCUAAACUCCCUGGGGCCUCCAGUCUCUCGAGGGUUAGGUGCAUCUUCUCAGAUUGAACCCAGACCUGCCAGUCCUCUGCUAUAUAUGUGUUGGGGACCUCAUAUCAGCUGUGUAUGAUGCCUGGUUGGUGGUCCAGUGUUUGAGAGAUCUCGGGGUUCCAGGUUAAUUGAGACUGUUGCUCCUCCUACAGGGUCACCCUCCUCCUCCUCAGCUUCUUUCAGCUUUUCCCUAAGUCGACCACAGGGGUCAGCAGCUUCUCUCCAUUGGUUGGGUAUAAAUAUCUGCAUCUGAUUCUUUCAGCUGCUUGUUGGGUCUUUCGGAGGGCAGUCAUGAUAGGUCCCUUUUUGUGAGUACUCCAUAGCCUCAGUAAUAGUAUCAGGCCUUGGGACCUACCCUUGAGCUGGAUCCCACUUUGGGCCUGUCGCUGGGCCUUCUUUUCCUCAGGCUCCUCUCCAUCUCCAUCCCUGUAAUUCUUUCAAACAGGAACAAUUAUGGGUCAGAAUUUUGAUUGUAGGAUGGCAACCCCAUCCCUCACUUGAUGGCCUGUCUUUCUGCUGGAGGUGGGUUCUACAAGUUCCCUCUCCCCAUUGUAGGGCAUUUUAGAUGAACAUUUUUUUAAGACUAAAAAUAUACCAUCGAGGCAUGUCACUUCUUGUAGGAAAUUCCACAAUAUUAUUCUAACUUAAAUAUAAAUGUAGCUGUGGAUGAAGUAGGACUUUAUUAUCAGGAUACAAUUCAAAAGUAUGUGUGUUACUAUAAUUGUUUCAUUGUUAUUUAGUAGUAGUAAACACUGAUGACUAUCAGAGACUACACCUGAAAAGGAAAGUAUUUAUUCUAAGCAUAUUAAAUGGAGAAAAGGACACUAGAGGCUAGUUUAUAUAGCAUGCUUCAAUGUACAUAGAAACUAGAUCUGGAAUUAUAUUUAUUACACGACACACAAAAAUAUACCUAAAGAGCAUGCAUGGGAAUGCCUUUGGAGAUCAAGAAUAGGGACAAAAGGAGCUUUUUACAUCUGACGUUUAUCUUAUGUAUUGUUUGAAUUGUUUCAACAUGAAUGUGCUUGUGAAACACCCUAAGUUAAUGCCAACCACUACGGAAAAUAUGAAAGCAAACGAUACUAUCCAGGUUUCAUUCAGUGCUUAUAGUUAUAGUGGACAAGGCACCAUACAUGUGUCAUAAGCUCAUUAGAUUACAACAGGAAGACUAUAAGACGUAUGUAUCUACCGAGAACUCUGCGCAUGACGAGCCUGAAGCCUGAAGCAUAAGGGGAUUUUUGGUUAGAUGUGUACGCCAAUGUUUGAGAUAAGAAUUCAAAUAAAAAUGUGGACUCUGGGCAUUACUAGGGACGAUUAGUGACUUGUAGAUGAUAUCUUUGGCAUGACCAGGAGGACUACAGAGAUUGUGGCUGGCUAGUUGUAUAAAGAAGGGGAAAGUGAAGAUGUGUUCCUUAUCUGCUGAUGUUUCCAGGGGUUCUUAGGAUUUUAAUUCAAAGAGAAUGUGGGUAUUUGAUGUAUUCCAAGGACUCUUGUUUAAUGAAUGGAAUUUUAGAUGAUAAAGGAUCUGCACUUUGAGGGCUCCUUAUUUGUUGUUGUUUUUUGGUUUUUAUUUUUUUUGGAUGUGUCUCGAAACAAAAAUAUCUGAGCAAUUUCUCAUAAGAACUGACUUGGUAUAACAAGAAAGAAUUUUCAUAUCUUCCAGGAUUAUUGUUUGAUUGCAAAAAAAGCUAAUAAAUGAUUUCGUCUGUUAAAAUGGUUACCUAACUGC